GACGAACGCUGGCGGCGUGCUUAACACAUGCAAGUCGAACGGAAAGGCCCUGCUUUUGUGGGGUGCUCGAGUGGCGAACGGGUGAGUAACACGUGAGUAACCUGCCCUUGACUUUGGGAUAACUUCAGGAAACUGGGGCUAAUACCGGAUCGGAGCUCCUGCUGCAUUGUGGGGGUUGGAAAGUUUCGGCGGUUGGGGAUGGACUCGCGGCUUAUCGGCUUGUUGGUGGGGUAGUGGCUUACCAAGGCUUUGACGGGUAGCCGGCCUGAGAGGGUGAUCGGCCGCACUGGAACGGGGACACGGACCAGACGGCUACGGGAGGCAGCAGAGGGGAAUAGUGGACAAUGGGCGCAAGCCUGAUCCAGCCGGACCGCGUGGGUGAAGAAGGCCUUCGGGUUGUGAAGCCCGUUUGUUGGGGAAGAAAAGCAGCAGGUUAAUACCCCGCUGUUCUGACGGUACACAAAGAAUAAGCACCGGCUAACUUCGUG
rnacentral:rRNA from 1 species